AUGGAGGAGGGCGUGGCCGACGCUGCUCCGGGUGAAGGGAUGGACGGCGCUGUGGAGGAAGGCCACGGCGCUGCACCGGCCUCAUCCUCGGGCGACCAUGGCGGGCAGGAGAAGGGCGGCCAUGGCGGGAUGAAGGAGGACGGCCCAGGCGCGGCGCCAGAGGGCGGCCAUGGAGGGGAGGUGGAGGGCGGGCAAGGUGCUGCGCCGGAGGGCGGUCAAGGUGCGGCGCCGAAGCAGGGCAACGAUGAUGGUGCGACGGCCACAGAUGCAAGUACUCCGGCAUGGCUUGAAGGGAUGGAUCCAGACUCAACUUAUUUACUGAAAAUCAACUUGCUUGGCAACCCCAAAAAAGCUAGGAAGGACAUCAGAUGUCAAAAAGCUAGGAAGGAUAUCAAAUUGAAGAAGUGA
rnacentral:rRNA from 1 species